UGGAUUGUGCAAUAGUGUAGAUAUCAUGCUGGUUGCUGCAACGCAGUAAGGAAGUGUGUGUGCUUUGCCUCUAUGCAAAGCAGAAACCUCUACAGCAAGUAACACCGGAGAGCUGCCUAGGGUGUUUGAUCUGGAGACACUUUGGAUUAAAAUUAGAUUUAGAGUCUUAGAUUAUUAGAUUUAGGCUUAGAUUAGAUGUACAGUCUUCUGAAUGGAGAAGGCAAGAAAAAUAAUCUUUGGGAAGCAGCAAAUGCAACGCUUAGAUGCAUGAUCUAAAGAGACAAUGGUACCAAAUCCCCUCACUAGGAGCAAGAGGAAAGCAUCUUUGAGGGAACGGGGUUCCCAGCUGUAUUUCAGACAUUUGCUCUCACAGAAAUGUUCCUCUCAUCCUGUCAUUGAACCAACUGUUUCUGGAGUACACUUCUUCUCAGGUCCUCCCCAUGAUUUAGGGGAUGUCACGCUGGGGCUGCAGGGCGCCUCUUUUCUGGGUGAUUCAGUCAGAAAAAUGAGAAGGGCACCAACGCAGAGCUUGUCCAGGCUGGGGUGCUUCUGAGUGAAAAGACAUUUCUUCUGUUGUGAAUGAAGAAUGGCCAAGUCUUACAAAUCGCUGAAGGCUACAUCCACGGUGUAGUCUAAUCAUGGUGUGUAUAAAGCUGGGUGGAUACGUUCAUCUACUUGCACUUAGCUGAUGUGUAAGGAGGAGAAAAGGUCAUUAAGGAAGCCUUAUCAUUUCAGUGUACAACAGCAUGAAUCAGGUAGCCAUUUCGUGUUUUGGUGUUGCUUAUACUGCUUCUGAAGGCAGAUUGCAGGGAAAGCUACCUGGAAGAUGGCCUGCGUUCCUCUUUGCUACCUACCAAGCUGUUCAGCCGUGUUCUCAUCCAGUUCUGGGAGGUGGUGAGAAUCCCUCACUGGAAGUGAAAAUCACUUUUGUUACCCAAAGUCCAUCACAAGCUUCAACAGCACAUCAGAUUCAGUCAGGAAAAAGAAAACUUUUGCUUGGUGCUGUGCAACCUAUACAUAUAUAUAUAUAUAUAUAUAUAUAUAUAUAUAUAUAAAGGGAAAAAAAAGGGAAGAUUAACCUAUAUAUAUAAUCCUCCCUUUCAUUUAAAAUAAACAAACAAAUAAAUAAAUAAUGCUUUAGUCUUCCAAAUCAAAAUAGGGAAAAUUAAAAUAAGGACAAAAAUAAAGGUUUCAGAAUCAGUAAACCAGUCAAUCUUUAACAUAAUUCUCUCUCUCUCUCUCUCUUUUUUUUUUUUUUUUUUAAUUGGUAGUACCCUUUUGUUACACCCCUAUAGAUUCUGAAUAUCAGAUCUUUUUUAUUUUGAUGUAUCGAUAAAUAUUUUCUUUCUACUCACUCUCUAAAAAUUUGGGGCACUACUCCAUUCUGAAGAGGCACCCUAAGUAAUCCUAUUAUUGUGUAAAUCAGUCAAUGACUCCAUUAGUAACUGCAUUCAAAAAAGUACAGGCAGUAUAGGAUUUAUCCUGACAUUUGUCACCGAAAUAACUUGCCUAAUUUCAUUCUGAGCAUGCAAAGCUGAAGCAAAUAAACCUAAUCAUCUUAGCACGGGAAGGGAUCUGGCAGAGAAGUAGAAGCAGCGGCUGUACCAGUUCCAUUUUUUCCUGGAAGCGAGUGGGAACAAGCCAUCGCAGAAGGGAAGGACACCACCACCACCAGGCACACGCAGGGGCACACAGGCAUCCAAGAGCCACACAGCACUCCUGCAGAAGCCGAAUAACAGCUUGACAGAAGUGGGGGCUUCCAAACGAAGCAGACAAACUUCAAAGUGGAAGAAAGAACACCAAGCAAUGCUACACGAUGUGAAGAGACUGAUUGCUGCAACUCCUUGACUAAGAUUCUCACUCUUCAAACUUCUUUGGAAGGAGCAGAAGCACAAGUCUAAAGGGAAGAGCCUGAUCAUUCCUCUAGCCUGGCUUACGAGCUGUUUACCUCUGAUACACUAAAGGUUGGGUCCCACUGAGCCUGCUGCUGGGUAAACAGAGCGUGUAUCACUAGCCCUGCCCUGAAUUAUGAGCAUCCUAAUGAGAAGGCAAGCAAGAGGUAAAAUCCCGCAAAGAUUCUGCACCAAUUUCUUCUGUACUGCAUCAGCCCUCUUCAUGAAGGACUUGGAAACCGGAGCGGCAAACCACGCUAUCUAAUUGACACCUUGAGAGGCUCCCUCAAAGGACUUAGCUCACUUGGAUGGUGUGUGGAUCAGCUUCUCUCCAGAAGCCAGCAGAAGACCAAAGGUGCAGCCUGCAAUGCUAGUGCAAGUCACAGUGAAUUGCCAGGUUUAAUUAGGACCAUUACUUCUUGAGCCACAGUUGCUAGAGAAGUCCUUGUACCGCCGGAGAAGUGCAAAGAUGACUGUCCUAAUCAAGUACUUGUGGAGUAAGAAAUGAUUUUUUUUUUCUUCCCCAGCACACUAAACAAAGAAGGACCCAAGUUGUAUUGUAUUCGUAUAAACACAGCACAUCUGAGCAUGUACACAUAGCAUUUUACAAGGAACUGAAAAGGUUUAAUAGGAGAAUUACAUGAAAGUCAACAAUGUAACGAAUUAUUUCAAGUAAAUAGAAGCUAAGUCAGAUGGAGAAGGGGAUAUUUUCCCAUUACAUAAAACAUAGUUUAGAAGAUCUUUUAGCUGCCAGCUAGAAAUUAAUGUCAAAAAAAAAAAAAAAAAAAAAAAAAAAAAAAAAAAAGAGAAAGCUUAAAAUGAUAUGGUAAUGAGUUUGUUCCUGUGAAUUAGGAUUGAUAUAGCAAUCGCUUGACAUAUCUGGAUGACAAAAAUAAGAAGUAAAUGUAGCAAAAAUGUGUAAACUAAUGACUUACUGUAAUGACAGUACAAUUUAGAAGAUAAUUACAAGAGCUGACAACUGGCAGUAACUACAUGUAUUGCUUAAAAUGACUUAACAGUAAAUGUUAGGGAAAAGUCAUAAUUUUUUACUAGUUAAGAUGGCAAGAAAAGAGCAAAGGUGACGCUAAAUUGCUCACUGAAAGGAUUAAGCACAUUCUGAAGCAUUCAUUCCUCUGUAUUUCAUAAUAAGCACAAUUUCUGACUUACGGACGUGUGAAUUAAAACACAGAAAUGUAAGCAAUUAUGCCAGAUGAGACCCAGUGAAGACAGGGCAAUUUGGAACCAAUAUUUCUCUGUCUUGUUUUGGUACUAAAUCAGUUUACACGGAAUAUUGUGUUCUUGGAUAUUGCAUAAGAGAACAAUGACUUGAAGACUACACAGUGAUUUUCUGGCAAAUGUUAAAAACUGAUCUAAUCAAAAAAAAACAAAACAUUGUAAGCGUUGGGUAUUUGAUUCAUAAAAGAAAACUUUUUAAACAGGUGAGCUUAAAUCAAAAAGGGAUUCCUGCAAUGAGCUUGAAAAUGUGAAAUUAGAAAGCAGAAAAACAGACCAGUUUGGGGUGGUGGUGUUGUAAGUAUUAUUUCUAUUCCUAUUGUCCAUAUUAAGGUAUGAAUAAGGAAAAUAAGGUAGCUACUAUUAUUACUGUUUUUUUAAACUCGAUAUAAAUAACCUCAAAUACAGUCAUUUUCCAUUAAAAAAAAAAAAAAAAAAAAAA